rnacentral:rRNA from 1 species
GACGAACGCUGGCGGCGUGCCUAAUACAUGCAAGUUGAGCGCUGAAGGUUGGUACUUGUACCGACUGGAUGAGCAGCGAACGGGUGAGUAACGCGUGGGGAAUCUGCCUUUGAGCGGGGGACAACAUUUGGAAACGAAUGCUAAUACCGCAUAAAAACUUUAAACACAAGCUUUAAGUUUGAAAGAUGCAAUUGCAUCACUCAAAGAUGAUCCCGCGUUGUAUUAGCUAGUCGGUGAGGUAAAGGCUCACCAAGGCGAUGAUACAUAGCCGACCUGAGAGGGUGAUCGGCCACAUUGGGACUGAGACACGGCCCAAACUCCUACGGGAGGCAGCAGUAGGGAAUCUUCGGCAAUGGACGAAAGUCUGACCGAGCAACGCCGCGUGAGUGAAGAAGGUUUUCGGAUCGUAAAACUCUGUUGGUAGAGAAGAACGUUGGUGAGAGUGGAAAGCUCAUCAAGUGACGGUAACUACCCAGAAAGGGACGGCUAACUACGUG